rnacentral:lncRNA from 1 species
CCCUUCUCUUCUCCCUCUAUGUUUAAUCAGAUUUUCUCACGAACAAGCUUCAACUUGGUCCACGCUGAUGAUUCAAGUAUUGACUUCAAGCUCCCAAAUCACAGUCCCAGCUUUCCUUUGUGACGUAUCCUUGUGGAUGUCUGGCCACCACCCCAUGCACUUUGCCUCCAAGCUAGGCUUCCAUCUUUAGCACAGGGGCAUUGGAUCCACCAGCAGUAGGUCUAUGGAGAGAAGGGGGAUUGAAAAAGACAUGAUGAAACUUUCUGGCUCCUCGAUGCCACCCCAGCAAGGAACAAGUAAGCGUCCCCAUGUCGCCACCGUUGCCAAACACCCACCUCCACCACUGGCCUGCGCUCUCCUGCAAAUACGGUGCAUGCCUUGGAGGAUGGGAGAUGGCUGCACAAACCCAG